rnacentral:lncRNA from 1 species
GUCCAGUGGGCAGGCUGGUUAGAGUUCCUCUAGGGGCCCCCUCCCACCUGGCUGUCUCACUUACAACUUCCCUGUUCUGUAUGAUGUUGUCUAUGAGUUUGUCAUACAUGACUUGUAUUAUUUUGAGGCUCAGAAGUACAUAUUCAGGUUUGUUGUACAGGUAAGUUGCAUGUCAUGGGGGUUUGGUGUACAGAUUAUUUUGUCACCCAGGUAAUAAGCAUAGUGUCUGAUAGUUUUUUAGUCUUCACCCUCCUCACACCCUUUACCCUCAGGUAGGCCUCAGUGUCUGUUGUUCCCUUCUUUGUGUCCACAGGUACUCAAUGUUUAGCUCCCACUUAGAAGUGAAAACAUGCAGUAUUUGGUUUUCUGUUUCUGUGUUAGUUCACUUAGGAUAGUGACCUCCAGUUCCAACCACGUUGCUGCAAAGGACAUUAUUUUAUUCUUUUUUAUGGCUGCAUAGCAGUCCAUGGUAUAUAUGUACCACAUUUUCUUUAUCUAGUCUAUUGUUGAUGGACAUUUAGGUUGAGUCCAUAUGUUUGCUACUGUGAAUAGUACAGUGAUGACCAUACAUGUGCAUUCUAUCUUUAUGAUAGAAUGAUUUAUAUUCCUUUGGGUAUGUACUCAUUAAUGAGAUUGCUGAGUUGAAUAGUAAUUCUGUUUUAAGUUCUUUGAGGAAUUGCCACACUGCUUUCCACAAUUGCUAAGACUAAUUUACAUUCCCACCAGUAGGUAUACGCAUUCCCUUUCUUUACCCCUUUUCAUUUCUGAGUUUCCACUUUGGUCGGGGACCAUUGCUGGAGAGCUAGUUAUAUUCUUUAGUGCUGUCACUGCAUUCAGAUUUUUUUAUGGUGCCAUAAUUCUUAUACUGGUUCCUUCACAUCUAGACACACUGGAUUUUUUUUUUUUUUUUUUUGAGAUGGAGUCUCACUGUGUCACCCAGGCUAGAGAGCAGUGGUGCUAUCAUGGCUCAUUGCAACAUCCACCUCCUGGGUUCAAGUGAUUCUCCUGCCUCAGCCUCCUUAGUAGCUGGGAUUACAGGCACCCACCAUCACACCCAGUUAAUUUUUGUAUUUUUAAUAGAGGUGGGGUUUCACCAUGUUGGCCAGGCUGGUCUUGAACUCUUGACCUCAAGUGAUUCACCUGCCUUGGCCUCCUAAACUGCUGGGAUUACAAGCGCAAGCCACCACACCCGGCUGCAUUUCUUAUUUCUAUAAUUAUUUUCAUGUUGAUAGAAUCCAUGUUUCUUUCUUUCUUUCUCUCUUUCUUUCUUUCUUUUUUCUUUCUUUCUUUCUUCUUUCUUUCCUAUUUCUUUUCUUACAUUAUUAGGGUAUUUUGGGGUUUUUUCCCUCUUCCUUAGGCAGUGUUACUAUGGAAUGUUGGGUAAGGUCUUUUAGCCCUAUUAACUUUUGUUGGUAGGUUUUACAUUGGGCCAUGUGGUUUGACCCACAAGCCAGUAGAUGGCACUUACAGGUAAGAGCUGGCUGCAGCCAAUGCAACUGGUUAUGUACUUGACCCUUGUUCACUAGGAGAAGCUCUUGUUGCCUCAGGCAAUGAGCUAAUACAUGGAGUACACAAUGGUUUGAUCUCCCCACUCAGCUCUAGUGUGGGACAGGAUGGGUGGAGCUGGACCGGUUAGGCCCAACUACAGGUCCCCAGUGACAAGCAUCAGCACCAGCACCAAAGAAGAAUGCAGUGGGCAGCCACCAUGUGCCCAGAG